AGUUUCAAAAAAAAAAAAAACUCACUUUGUCAGUUCCAUAGAUGUAAUCGCAGUAAGUGAAAACUGAAGCAAAGUUGCUUUGGCUUUGUCCUCCAACGUAAUGAUGGUAAUCAUGAUACUCAGCUCCACCAUAGAAUGGAAUGAAUUUCGUCAGUGUCCAUGGAAAAUCAUAUCUGUAAAACAAAACAAAAAACAAAGAGAACAGCUUAUCAUUUGAAAGAUGUUUGCAUGCUCAACCAAUAGAAAAUGCUCACCAAAAAGGCUAAUAUCUAAAACAAUCCUCAAAAUCUAAAAGGGACUAGAAAGUAUCAGAAAAAGGCUAGUGCUUUACCUCAUCCCCACAAAAAAGAAAGGUAAACCACUAUUGAAAGAGUCCCACAUAGCCCAUUAUAAAGUAGAACUUUCAUAGAUAUACUAACAAAAGAAAGCUGAAACCUUUGGUAAAAGAAAAAAAAAACAAUUCAAAAUUUGUUACGAUGCAAUCCAAAGUAAAAACAAUGGAUCUAC